AACGUAGGUCCCGAGCGUUAUCCGGAUUUACUGGGCGUAAAGCGCGUUCAGGCGGUCGGCUAAGUCGGGCAUGAAAUCUCUCGGCUCAACCGGGAGAGGUUGUCCGAUACUGGUCGACUUGAGGGCAGUAGAGGGUGGUGGAAUUCCGGGUGUAGUGGUGAAAUGCGUAGAGAUCCGGAGGAACACCAGUGGCGAAGGCGGCCACCUGGACUGCCCCUGACGCUGACACGCGAAAGCUAGGGGAGCGAACGGG
rnacentral:rRNA from 1 species